rnacentral:ncRNA from 1 species
CCUGCGGGAGAGACCCUGCCUUUUAUUCGUUUUAUCGGGCAGGGCGCCGAAGGCGCAACCCGCUCGGAAUCGCUCAGGCAAAAGAACGGCAGGUA